CCAAGGGGUUGGACGAAAUUGUGUUGCCAUCAUACGAUCAGCUAUUCUUGUUCAAAUGACAAGAAGGUAAGAAUUUUGUCUGCGCAUGCGUCAAAACUAGCGCGGUGAACGGAUAGGAGACCUGGGGAAACCUGGGGAGUGUAAUUAUCACAUUUGAUUUUUGAGCGUUUUAUUUGUUUUUUGGCCUAGUUUUUCUACUGAAAAAAAAAAUUUAUUUAAUGCUUCGUUGGGAAGGAGGGAAAGCUACGGGAGAGGGAAAGAGAAAGAAAACAAAAAUGUAUAAAAAUCAAGCUUUUACGUAACUUUAUAGGUCGGGAAUGCUCGGUUUCCGACGGAAAAUCGCGAAUUUUCCUAUCUUUAAAAAAAUAUACAUUGACUAGUAAACGAAGAAAGGUCCAGUACAUGUUUGCGAAUACGAAGUUAUGUUUUUGCAAAUCUACUAUUCAC